CUCCUUCCCUCUUCUCCCUUGACGACAACGUACUUGACGUGAGAGCCUUUGGUGAGGGAGCUUGUCAAAGUCUUUCUGGAAAUCUAAGUACGCUGUAGCCACUGGCUCCCCCCUUGGCCGCAUGCAUGUCUGUUGUCCCCGUGUCAGAACUCUCUAGCAGUAAGACGUGACUUCCCUUUAGAGAAGCCAUGUUUGUUGGCUUCCCCCACACCCAACAAAUUAUGUUCAUCUGUGUGUCGGACAAUUUUAGGCUUGACCAUCGUUCCAAGUAACUUGGCCGGUGCUGCCGUUGGACUUACCGGUCUGUAAUUGCCAGGAGGGAGGAUGGCCUCUAGAGCCCUUUUGAAAAAUCUUGGCGUCCCGUUAGCUGUCUUUCCGGUCACUAGCUAGGGAAGCUUGAUUUAAAGGCCAGGUUACGAAACCCAGUUUAUUACUUGCGCAGUUUCACAUCUGACUUCUUUGAGAACUCUUGGCUGGCGAAUGGCGUCCGGUCCCGCUGACUUGGUACUGUGAAGUUUUCUCGCUUUGCUCCCAAACCUCCUCUAGGGACACCUCAGUCUGGGACGAUUCCUCAGCUUUGUCAGCUACAAAGAAUUGCUCGGGGUUGGGUAAUCUCCCUGAUGCCAUUGUCAGCUGUGAAGAUGAAAGCAAAGUAUUCAUUUGCCUUGGGUCUCAAGUUCUCCUCAGUUGUCAGAAUGGGUCCUAUUUAUACUCCUUUAUACUCCUUAGUUCACAUGCGGGGGGGUAUGGGACAUGUGGGUGGGUGGAUGGAGAUACUUCACCUCUGCAUUCUGUAAUGUGUCCUGUAAUGCAAUCUAGGACAACACUAAACACCAGUUAUAAGACAAUGUAACUCCAUAUCACCACGCAGGUGUGUGUCUGAAUGUAAGGUCGAAAAAAGUAUCUUCCAUUAUUAGAACAUCACAACUCACUGUUUUAUUAAUCAAGUUCUCUGGGUUUUUUUGGUAGAUCCAGGGUUUUUCCUUUCAACAAUAAAACUGCUCUAUAACUACAACCAGAAUGUCUACACAGGAAGGCUAAAAUUUAGCUAAGCUAAGUAAUUUUCACUGUCAGUUGCUUAAUUUGGUAUUUGGUGCUGUCUGCACAGUAGAAAGUCAAAGGCAGAACAAAAGGUGUAGUGUCCUUAUAUGAAAGUAAUUCAGAGCCCUAAUGGCUGCUGUACAUAAAUUUAUGUAGCUGCAGUUUGCAGAUCUCUAGUAUCUUCAGAAAAGUAACAUUACUAAAAUAAAGGAACAAAUAAAAUACUAAGGACAUUAGAGCUGUGCACAAGUAGUUAGAGCUGUUUACAUAACACUACUGUGAGUUUUCCUUCAAUGGAAGGCCUACAAGGAAAUCAGCAACCUCUCUUAUUGAAUACAGAUUUACCUGAUCUUUCCUUUGUUCUAAAAGGUUUUUUCUUCAUAGUCUCAAUCUACUGCUCUUAGUGAGUCUGAAGAGAUAAUUGCUAUCCAUGAAGAUUAUAGUAGUUAUUUUCUUGUGUUAUAGACUGUCUGAAAUGGCAGGAAAAUGUAAGCAUCAUUGUCUUAAGUUUCAAUGCCAUACACUUGAAUACAUAUGAAAGUCAAAAUAUGGACAUGAUGGAUCUUGUAACUGAGCACCUGCAUUAUUAAAGCCACAGCAUUGCCUGUAUUAGAGAUUGCUUUCAAACUCAGCUCAUACAUGAGAAGAACCAACAGAACCCCCAGCAAAGGCUUCAGUAAUAAUCAUUUUUCAGUAUAAGGAUUGAGAAAAGGGCUAGCCAGCUGGUUGGCUGGUGUAAGUCAGCAAAGGUCCACUGUUUAAAAACUCUGCAAUUCAUAAUGGGCUUCAAACAUGUGUGCCUGAUUACAUUGGAUAAAGAUCUGGCCUAAUUCCUCUGAUACACAUCCCCCAAUACUUUUGUUGGAAUGCUUUCUACAUAAUCUUAUUUUAAAAAUAAACUAAUUUCCUUACAAAA